CCGUCACAACGGCUUCCUGACGUGACGGCAGUAUUCAAUGGAGCA
rnacentral:ncRNA from 1 species